rnacentral:rRNA from 1 species
CGUUGAGAAGUUCGUUGUGCAAAUCAAUGCAUCUUGAAAAUUAAGUCUUACUAAUAUUAAGCUAUCAUAGUGUAUAUAUUUAAAGGUAAUAAAAAGAUUUUGGAGUAUUAUUGUUUUAGUAGAGUGAAUCGAAAAAAAAUUAAAAAGAGUUAUAGAAUAAAGUACUGUAAAGGAAAGAUGAAAUAAAUUGAAAAUUUAAUUAAAAUAAAGUAAAGUUAAAUACUUGUACCUUGUGUAUUAGGGAGGAUUAAAAUAAUCUUAUUAGAGUAAGUAGUCCCGAAAGAAAAAGAGCUAACAUAAAUAAAUAGUUUUCGUAUUAAUGAAAUUAUUAAAUUUAUGUUAGUAGUGAAAUGCUAGACGAUUUUUCAUAUCUGGUUGAAGGAGAAUUAAAUUAAAUUUAGUUAUUUUGAGGUUAAAAAAGCUUUAAAAUAAUAAAGAGUAGGAGGGAAGAGCUUCUUAUUCUAAUAAUAAGUAAACUAUAAUAAAAGUAAUUUAAGUAUUACUGAAUUAGGCUUAAAAACAGCCAUAUU